UAUGAUCCUAGCGUGAUAUUUAUGUGGAAAGGCCAGGAUUAUAUGUUUUGGGAUCCCGAGGGUAGCAUUGAUCUCUCAAGUAAUGGUUUAACUGGUGAAAUACCAAAAGAGGUUGGAUACUUACUUGGAUUAGUUUCUUUAAAUUUAUCAAGAAACAACUUGAAUGGAGAAAUUCCAUCUGAGAUUGGGAAUUUAAGUUCUCUAGAAUUUAUUGACUUGUCAAGAAAUCAUUUAUCUGGAGAAAUCCCUUCUACUUUAUCCAAUAUUGAUCGUCUUGCUGUGUUAGACUUAUCAAACAACGAUCUCGUUGGAAGAAUCCCUUGGGGAAGACAGUUGCAAACAUUUGAUGCCUCUAGUUUUGAAGGAAAUAUUGGUCUUUGUGGUCAACAACUUAACAAAAGUUGUCCAGGUGAUGAGACAAUAGAAAAGCCUAAAGGACAAGCAAUUCAUGAUGAAGAUGACAAUUCAGUUUUCUAUGAAGCAUUAUACAUGAGUUUGGGGAUAGGAUUCUUCGUAGGCUUUUGGGGCUUAUUAGGGCCAAUACUACUUUGGCCACCAUGGAGAAAUUCUUACAUGAGAUUCUUGAACAAAGUAACAGACUAUAUACUUGUGACGAUUGAAGUGAACUUAUUGAAGUUCCAGAUGUGGCUCAAAUGGUAGUAGCACAAAAUUUGCAGUUUAUGGCAAAUUAGCUUCAAACUUCCAAGGGAUGAAAGCUUCGUGGAUUGCUGGUUGUGUACGUAAUAUUGAGGUUUACAAUGUAAUGCUAAAUCAAUGUUUUAAGGAUUGAUUUGUUUUUUAUUUUAUUUUAUAUAAUCUAUUUGUAAUUUUACUUUGUUUUGAUUGUCUGAUUUGGUUUCUUUUUGGUCAUCCAUCUUGAAUAAUAAUGUCUACUAUUAGCGUGUCA